rnacentral:rRNA from 1 species
UUGGAGGAAAGCAGGGGAUCGCAAGACCUUGCGCUUUUGGAGUGGCCGAUGCCUGAUUAGCUAGUUGGUGGGGUAAUGGCCUACCAAGGCGACGAUCAGUAGUUGGUCUGAGAGGACGACCAGCCACACUGGGACUGAGACACGGCCCAGACUCCUACGGGAGGCAGCAGUGGGGAAUUUUGGACAAUGGGCGAAAGCCUGAUCCAGCAAUGCCGCGUGAGUGAAGAAGGCCUUCGGGUUGUAAAGCUCUUUCAGUCGAGAAGAAAAGGUUGUGACUAAUAAUCACAACUCAUGACGGUAUCGACAGAAGAAGCACCGGCUAACUACGUGCCAGCAGCCGCGGUAGUACGUAGGGUGCGAGCGUUAAUCGGAAUUACUGGGCGUAAAGGGUGCGCAGGCGGCUUUGUAAGUCAGAUGUGA